rnacentral:rRNA from 1 species
UACAUAGGGUGCAAGCGUUGUCCGGAAUUAUUGGGCGUAAAGAGCUCGUAGGUGGUUCGUUACGUCGGAUGUGAAAAUCUGGGGCUCAACCCCAGACCUGCAUUCGAUACGGGCGAACUAGAGUGUGGUAGGGGAGACUGGAAUUCCUGGUGUAGCGGUGUAAUGCGCAGAUAUCCGGAGGAACACCAGUGGCGAAGGCAGGUCUCUGGGCCAUUUCUGCCUCUGAGGUGCGAAAGCGUGGGGAGCGAUCAGG